rnacentral:rRNA from 1 species
GGGUUGUGAGGUUAAGCGACUAAGCGUACACGGUGGAUGCCCUGGCAGUCAGAGGCGAUGAAGGACGUGCUAAUCUGCGAUAAGCGUCGGUGAGGUGAUAUGAACCGUUAUAACCGGCGAUUUCCGAAUGGGGAAACCCAGUGUGUUUCGACACACUAUCAUUAACUGAAUCCAUAGGUUAAUGAGGCGAACCGGGGGAACUGAAACAUCUAAGUACCCCGAGGAAAAGAAAUCAACCGAGAUUCCCCCAGUAGCGGCGAGCGAACGGGGAGGAGCCCAGAGCCUGAAUCAGUGUGUGUGUUAGUGGAAGCGUCUGGAAAGGCGCGCGAUACAGGGUGACAGCCCCGUACACAAAAAUGCACAUAUUGUGAGCUCGAUGAGUAGGGCGGGACACGUGGUAUCCUGUCUGAAUAUGGGGGGACCAUCCUCCAAGGCUAAAUACUCCUGACUGACCGAUAGUGAACCAGUACCGUGAGGGAAAGGCGAAAAGAACCCCGGCGAGGGGAGUGAAAAAGAACCUGAAACCGUGUACGUACAAGCAGUGGGAGCCUCUUUAUGGGGUGACUGCGUACCUUUUGUAUAAUGGGUCAGCGACUUAUAUUCUGUAGCAAGGUUAACCGAAUAGGGGAGCCGAAGGGAAACCGAGUCUUAACUGGGCGUUAAGUUGCAGGGUAUAGACCCGAAACCCGGUGAUCUAGCCAUGGGCAGGUUGAAGGUUGGGUAACACUAACUGGAGGACCGAACCGACUAAUGUUGAAAAAUUAGCGGAUGACUUGUGGCUGGGGGUGAAAGGCCAAUCAAACCGGGAGAUAGCUGGUUCUCCCCGAAAGCUAUUUAGGUAGCGCCUCGUGAAUUCAUCUCCGGGGGUAGAGCACUGUUUCGGCAAGGGGGUCAUCCCGACUUACCAACCCGAUGCAAACUGCGAAUACCGGAGAAUGUUAUCACGGGAGACACACGGCGGGUGCUAACGUCCGUCGUGAAGAGGGAAACAACCCAGACCGCCAGCUAAGGUCCCAAAGUCAUGGUUAAGUGGGAAACGAUGUGGGAAGGCCCAGACAGCCAGGAUGUUGGCUUAGAAGCAGCCAUCAUUUAAAGAAAGCGUAAUAGCUCACUGGUCGAGUCGGCCUGCGCGGAAGAUGUAACGGGGCUAAACCAUGCACCGAAGCUGCGGCAGCGACACUAUGUGUUGUUGGGUAGGGGAGCGUUCUGUAAGCCUGUGAAGGUGGCCUGUGAGGGUUGCUGGAGGUAUCAGAAGUGCGAAUGCUGACAUAAGUAACGAUAAAGCGGGUGAAAAGCCCGCUCGCCGGAAGACCAAGGGUUCCUGUCCAACGUUAAUCGGGGCAGGGUGAGUCGACCCCUAAGGCGAGGCCGAAAGGCGUAGUCGAUGGGAAACAGGUUAAUAUUCCUGUACUUGGUGUUACUGCGAAGGGGGGACGGAGAAGGCUAUGUUGGCCGGGCGACGGUUGUCCCGGUUUAAGCGUGUAGGCUGGUUUUCCAGGCAAAUCCGGAAAACCAAGGCUGAGGCGUGAUGACGAGGCACUACGGUGCUGAAGCGACAAAUGCCCUGCUUCCAGGAAAAGCCUCUAAGCAUCAGGUAACAUCAAAUCGUACCCCAAACCGACACAGGUGGUCAGGUAGAGAAUACCAAGGCGCUUGAGAGAACUCGGGUGAAGGAACUAGGCAAAAUGGUGCCGUAACUUCGGGAGAAGGCACGCUGAUAUGUAGGUGAAGCGACUUGCUCGUGGAGCUGAAAUCAGUCGAAGAUACCAGCUGGCUGCAACUGUUUAUUAAAAACACAGCACUGUGCAAACACGAAAGUGGACGUAUACGGUGUGACGCCUGCCCGGUGCCGGAAGGUUAAUUGAUGGGGUUAGCGGUAACGCGAAGCUCUUGAUCGAAGCCCCGGUAAACGGCGGCCGUAACUAUAACGGUCCUAAGGUAGCGAAAUUCCUUGUCGGGUAAGUUCCGACCUGCACGAAUGGCGUAAUGAUGGCCAGGCUGUCUCCACCCGAGACUCAGUGAAAUUGAACUCGCUGUGAAGAUGCAGUGUACCCGCGGCAAGACGGAAAGACCCCGUGAACCUUUACUAUAGCUUGACACUGAACAUUGAGCCUUGAUGUGUAGGAUAGGUGGGAGGCUUUGAAGUGUGGACGCCAGUCUGCAUGGAGCCGACCUUGAAAUACCACCCUUUAAUGUUUGAUGUUCUAACGUUGGCCCGUAAUCCGGGUUGCGGACAGUGUCUGGUGGGUAGUUUGACUGGGGCG